rnacentral:sRNA from 1 species
GUCUGUUGAGAACUACAGGCUAAUACACAACUGGGUUAUGGCACAACACAUGCAGUCCCAUGCACCUUAUAAAUGGGAUUACUGGCCUCAUGAAGAUGUCCGUGCUGAAUGUAGAUUUGUUGGCCUUACUAACCUUGGAGCUACUUGUUACUUAGCUUCUACUAUUCAGCAACUUUAUAUGAUACCUGAGGCAAGACAGGCUGUCUUCACUGCCAAGGUAGAAUUUUCCUCACUUUAAAAAUCAAAAUUAUAAACCAGAUUUUAAUAUUUUGUUGAUAAAUCUUUAUUUCAAUGUAAAUGUUUGAAAAAAUAAUUUGUGAAUGAAAGUAAAUUUGAUUACAGUAA